rnacentral:rRNA from 1 species
AGUGAACGCUGGCGGUAUGCCUAACACAUGCAAGUCGAACGGCAGCACAGUAAGAGCUUGCUCUUACGGGUGGCGAGUGGCGGACGGGUGAGGAAUACAUCGGAAUCUACUUUUUCUUGGGUGAUAACGUAGGGAAACUUACGCUAAUACCUCAUACGACCUACGGGUGAAAGCAGGAGAUCUUCGGACCUUGCGCGAUUCAAUGAGCCGAUGUCGGAUUAGCUAGUUGGCGGGGUAAAGGCCCACCAAGGCGACGAUCCGUAGCUGGUCUGAGAGGAUGAUCAGCCACACUGGAACUGAGACACGGUCCAGACUCCUACGGGAGGCAGCAGUGGGGAAUAUUGGACAAUGGGCGCAAGCCUGAUCCAGCCAUACCGCGUGGGUGAAGAAGGCCUUCGGGUUGUAAAGCCCUUUUGUUGGGAAAGAAAAGCAGCAGGUUAAUACCCCGCUGUUCUGACGGUACCCAAAGAAUAAGCACCGGCUAACUUCGUG